rnacentral:lncRNA from 1 species
CUGUGAGAAUGGGUAAGUACAAUAAAACACUCAGAUAUUAUUUGACUUGAAGCAAAUAAUCUAACACUGAAAAAUGUUUGAAGGGGAAAAUAAAAACUCAAGAGAAAUGGGAAGGUAGAGUUCUCAGUGAAGAAGCAGAAGGUCAUUGAAAGCAAAUGGGAAAAAAAGAACUUUUGGAAAGACAAAAAAAUGCAAGACAACACCCACUGCUGCAGAGAAAAAAACCAAGAGAAUGGAUUCUGUUUGUGGAAUUGUGGAGAUAAUGGGCAAGUGUAGAAUCUGCACUGCUGGAAGGAAGAAGAAAGGAGGGCUUAAAUAUCCAUGCCAAAAUUUAGAAAUGGCGACAAUGCACUUCCUGAAGACUCCUCAUUCAUGAAACGUUCACUGCUCAUGAGGCCACUGGUUUUACAAGCAGUGAUUCAAAACCCGAGGCGCUUUAGGAGACAAUGAUGCACGAGCCAUGGCUAACACUGAGAAAAGCUGCUGAGAAUCUAUACUGAUUGUAUGGUGAACCACUCUGCUUCCUAACUGUGCCUCCCAGUCUGUCUGUGUCAGGUACACCUCAUUGCUGUGUCAGCUCCCCCCCCCCCCCCCCCCCAUUAAAAAUGAUCAUCUGUGAAGAUAGCCAAGAGGCUGUGUCCAUGUGCGAUGGCUGUGAGCAAAUGUGAACCUUUCCCCUGAGGUCAAGAAUCUUUGGAUAAAGCCUUUGGCAGCUGGGAGCUGGCUGUGACCACUGAUCACCCCUCUGCGGGUGGACAGGGCUCCCUUAAAAGCUGUCCCAGAGGGGACCAGAUCUCAGAGGAUCUUUGUCCUGUUUGGAUCUAGAGGCAAGAGGAUUGCAACAUGAUAUCUGUAACAAGACAGAAGUCAAAAAUGCAGAGAGCUGUGCAGUAUGAUUGCAGAGAGAAUUCAGUGCUGGUGGAAGUGACUGGAUUCACAGCAGUGGAAACAGAGAUGGAGACACCCUGUAUCAUGCAACAGCUGUCUGAAGGACUGCUGCAGGGCCAUGCACUGCCCUUCAUCUGCUCCCAGACAGGGCCAGAACCUGCUCAUAUCACCCCAUGGACCAGUU